GUGUAAAAACACCACUUCCAUCGGUUUCAAACUGAGAUCUCCUGCCCACCCGCUGAAUCAUUUGCAGAGUGGAUGAGAAAGAUCUGUAGUCUUUCACAAACAUCAAAAACAUCAUUAUCUACAACUACCGUUAUUUCUGCAGCAGCUGGUUCUCAACAUCCCGCAUCACAAAAGAAUAAUUGCAAACAACAACGAAAGAAACGGCUGGAAAUCCAGAAGCCAAUAGCAAGAGACACCAGCCAGGAGCGAUUAGAGGUAUCUGCUGAUAGCUCCAACGAGAUGGAAGUGGGGAAUAUCGCCUCACAAACAAAUGGAAAAUUAUCAAUAAAGAAAAAAGGG
rnacentral:lncRNA from 1 species